GGAGGUGAGAACUGAAUGCUCCCUAAGGGCCUCUCUAACUCAAAACUUUCUUGGAUUCUGUGAUAGUAAGAAAGAAACGUUUGGCUUUUCAUAGAUGCCUCUUUCCACUGAUUGAGACCAAAGGAAAAAAAAAAAAAAAGUGCAUUUUUAUUUUGAUUUAAGAAAACUUGUGACUGUAAUAACCUAAUAACAAAUUUGAAUUGAAAAAAGCAACCAACUUUUUAACUGGGUCUUGCAUAAUCUCAGGCUAAUUUCUGGUCAGCCCCCAGCAGGAAAGCUGUUUUAGUGAUGUAGAAGCCACAUCACAAAAUUAAUUUUCCCUCUCACAGAAGAGAGGCUGCUGCCACUUCUGUCCCUGAGGUGACACCUGGAUGAAGCAGGCAGAGUCAGCAAUGCAGGCUGCUGGGCUGGCAAAGCAGAAGGGGCAGUGAGGCAGCCCCUGGUGCAAGGAUGCUGCCCUGGGCUGUGGGAUGCUUGUGGCUGUCCUUUCUUUUUACUGUUUUGUGCCAGGCCAGACAAUGGUUGGAGAAUUAACAAGGGGCUGCCUCACAAAUAGAGCAGCCUGUUGUAUUGUCUAUUAUGGGAUUUAAUGCCCUAACAGGACAUGGAUCAAUAUCAUAGCAGGAGAGGUAAGGAAUACAAGAAUAGUCACAGAAGGUGAAAAGAGAGAAGAGGCUAGAAGAGUAAUAAAGAAAGGUUCCUCCUUUCCUUCAGAAAUGAUAUUAUUCUUAUUUAUUUUUUUGUCUUUUUGAUUUGAUCUGUGUGCCUGUAUGUAUUUGGGAUUUGCUGGAGGCUUUUGACAAUGUCUUUUUUUGUUUGUUUUGGUUUGUUUUUUUUAAAUUUUUGUAAUCAUGUGUCUGCUUUACUGCUCUUAAACCUGCCAGAACUUGAUGUCAGAGCAUUGCUGCCCAAAGAGCUUGUACUGGCCUCUAUUUCCAAUCCUGUACAAUCUCAGUUUAAUCACUGUGGCAGUCAGCUCAGAAGUGCCUGUAGGUGGAAAACAUCACUGUAACAUGAUGCAGUUGAUUUUACUUCAGCAUGGCUUUGAGACAAGCCACACUGGUCCAUGGAAUGUGUGUAGUAACUCCUCUUUCUCUGCAUCAAUUCACACACAUUUGGAGAUAUAAAAUUGGCCUUUCUGAAAACAGUUUCAGAAAAUGUACAAUAAGCCACUAUUUUCCGAAGAUAAGAGGAAAUAUUAAACAGAUUGCAAACAAGGCAGCCUGACAGAGAAACUUAAGAUGGCUAUCCCAUUAAGCAAACACAUCAUUCCUUGCUCCCUUCUGUGCCCUUUCACCAAUCUUAUAACUUCCAUCAAUGUUCAAUCACUCUAAUCAUCUCUUUCCAGCCUCUGCAACCUGCAAAGAGUUUAAAAAGCCCUGCACUGGCUUUGUGGUUUCAUUUCACUUCUCUUUGCUCCCAGCAACACAAAUAAGUGAUUUCACAACCACUGGGAAGGGAGAGCAGAGGGAAAAAAGAUUUAACCUACCUCAUCUAAUCAGAAGCUCCUAACAGAUGGAGGGAAACUGCUCCCUGGGCCCGACAAGGAACUGAGCCAGGGCUCUUCCCUCAUCACCAACUGCUGCCAGCUAAACAUCUGAAUUUCCUCUCUUCUGGAAGCUUAUAAAAGCUCUAAUCCAAGAAAUGGCACCUCAUUCUCUCCUCUUCCCUCCCCCAUGCCAUCUCCUUCUCCUGCAGCACAUGGCGUUACACCCUUCCAGACAGAUGAGUUUCAACAUUGUGACAUUGUCUCAGUCACCAUUUUCCACCCACUGUCAAAUCCACUGAAAAAAACAGCCAAAAAAUCAAAACAAAACAAACUCCACAGGAAAAAAAAAAAAAAAAGAAAAGCAGCAAAAACUGUUAACACUUCCUGUUUCUACAUGUCCUCCCAAGGUUUCUUUUGUCCAAAAGGUUCAGAGCACCACUGAGGGCUAUUUCUUCAUGAAAUAUCAUGAAGAAUCACAUUUUACAUCAGGAGGUCUUUACAUUCAAGUGUCUCUCUGGCAAAAGGUAGCAUCUAUUAGCCAGCCUCUUGCAUUUUUGUGGGCUUGCCUCUCCUUUUUGGAGCACGAAUUUCAUCCUGCACCUGACUGACCUCCAAAGCGAAGGUGCUACUUUGGUCCCUGUCAGAGCACCAACUUUAGUUGCCAAAAUGAAAUUACCCAUUACACCAAUUACUCAUUUCCAGCUAUGUGCUGUGUCUGGGCUGAGGGGAAGGUGUACAUGUAAGCAUAUUUCAAAUCCAGCUCCUGCCUGGUCAUCCAGAUGGGAAACCCAGCCAGUACUCCUUGGCUCCUUUCCUACAAAGCAUCACUGUGAGUAGAGGAUGGGGCUGUUGGAUCACCCAAAUGAGGAGCUUGGAGUAGUCAGCCCCAAAGGCUGGGAAGGCUGCAGUGCUCCCCAGGUGGGACACAGCUUUACAAGCAUGGUAAGGAAAGGUUUGUAGACAAUGGAAGAAAAUAUCAUCAGUAUUCAGUCCCAGGGAGGCCAGUGAGUUGUUAGCUUGUGCACCUUAAACAUAAAAAUCAACUUUACCUUCUGACCAAGCAGGAUCUCUUGGCCUUUAUUGCAAAAGAUCUGACCAGUGCAAUCCACCUGCUGAAGUUAAGCAGAAUGACCCUUGAUAAAAAUUCAGGUACAAUUCGCUUCAUUAGAUGGAUGGUCAGUAUUUUGUGUUUCAUCUUCAUUAAAGGAAGGAGAACCCCUUUGAAUACAAGUUAAAGGAAGAACCCCUUGAAUAACAGGUAAAUGGUCAGCUAAGCCCUAAGGACUUUCUGAGGAGGGGACCAGAAACAAUGGGUGUGAAAGCAUGGAAGUUCACCAGGUUUUAGUUUUGCAAUUAUUUGAGUAGCUGACACAAUGCUCACUCCUCCCAUGUUUAAUUUUGAGACUCAAUCACAAAAUUCUUCUAAGUUUCACAUAUGUUUUUUCCAGAGACCUAAUGUGCAUACACUAUACACAUAUGCAUCUGCACCUCUCAGCAAAAAGGAAUCUAAGAGUAGGAAACAAACAAGUAAAUUCUCCUAAAGUUUUAGAAGAAGGCACAAGAACAAUACUAUAAUUUCUCUCUUAAUAUCCACUAUGAUAUAAACUAUAUAAAUUCUAUGGCUUUUAUUCCAACCUUCACUGACAAAUAAUUCCUUUAUUUCUGGGUAUGGCUGGUGUAUUUAUCAUAUACAUUAAAGUGAAUAAGACACAGUUUUCGUUUCAUAAGAAUUUUGAUAUGUCCAGUAGUACAAAUAUCUAGGUUGGUGUGACAAGUGCACUUUGUCACCUUCUGAGGAAAAACAGGUGCACUUUUUGUAGCUGAUUUAUUUUUCCUGCAGAAUAUACCUUGGCAAGAAAUCUGUUUUGUGAGUGUAAUGAGAUAUGACUUUCAAAAGUAGUAAAUGGACACAAAUUGAAAUAUAAAAUAUUCUUUUUAAACAAAAGAAAAGGAAAAUCACUUCUGGGUUUUUUUUCCCUCUGUGAGAGUGCUUGAACACUGUCACAGGCUGCCCAGAGAGGCUGUUCAGUCUCUGUCAUUGGAAAUAUUCAAACCCCAGCUGGGCAUGACCCCAAGCAAUGCGUCUGUAGGUGACUCUGCUUUGAGCACAGGGUUGGACUUGACAAUUUCCAGCGAUGCCUUCCAGCCUCAGCUACUCUGUGAAUCUAAAUAGUUGUGUUUUCUGUACAGCCACAAAGGGGUAGUUUCUUUUUAGAUUGUUGCAUGAAAUCCUCCCGUUGUCAGAUUCAAUAGCAUCAGUCAUCUCUCUGUUCUUGUGAUAGCUGAGCUUUUCAGAAAUAAGAGGGACAAUUCAGAGGUGAUUUCUACCUUUCCAGGAGAGAGGGCUGAAAUAAAGAUUAGCUGUGAAACUAUUGCAAAUUAUGGAUGCUAAGAUAACAGAGUACACCUUCUUUAAGUGGGAAUUAUUUACAAUCUUUCGUGUUAAUAGUUCUUCUUCUUAAUGGUUAAAGACUCUCCAUCCUUUGAAUGAAAAAAUUUUCCUGUUAAAUUAGAAAUCGGGAGAGUUAAUGUGCUAAAUGAUUGAGACAAAAUAGCCAAAAUGCAGAAUUGUGUUCCUCAAACUGCAUCCUAAUCUGACAUUCUUCAAAGGGAUAAAAAUUAAAAGAGAUGAUAAAAUGUCUUUGGUUCAAAAAUAUAACUCCUGUGUCAAAUGUGUUCAAUAAGCCAAAGAGAAUAUGAUAAACUGUGAAGGUUCAUUACUGAUAAAAAAUAAACACAAAAAGGAGGGAAAAAGAAAGGGGAACUCUGGAGUUUAUAAUGACUGAAUGCAGCUUGCUUAGGGAACUAUUGCCACUCAUCUGCCUUGUGAAAAGCACAGUAAAAUUAUGGAUCAUCAAAGUGAUUCCUAACACUUAACAAAAUGAGACCAAAAGUGCCUUUUUUCCCCAGGUUCAGACAUCUGGGAAAACAUUAAUCAAACAUACAGAUUCAGUGGGAGGAAAAAUUUGGAAAACAGGAGUGUUGAAAAAGACUGAGUGGAUAACAUUGGCAGAAAUUAGAUGUGAAUCUGCAAUGCAGCAUCACAGCAAAAGAGCCAUUUUUGCAUUUUAUUUUAUUUUUAUUUUUUUUCAGUCUGCCUAUGAAGAACCAUCAUAUUCCUACUCAGGAAGGAACAAUAAUUCUGUUCUGUUCAAGAAUGGUGACAUGGAAAAUCUUGGUUGAUUCUGCAAGAGGUUCAGUGUUUCCUACUAAAUGCCCUUGGGUCCCUCUGAUGCAGAAGGGAACUGGCCCUUACAGCACAGAGUAUGGGGCUGGACAGCCCCUCACCUUGAUGCUGCAGAGCAGUUGGAAAGGAAAUCAAAGAAAUGCAAUGCUCGUGAUUGCUGAGGGGACUGGCUUACAAGAAAAGAUUAAAACUUGUCUGAUUACAUCUGUGCCUGGUGGGAUGCAGUGAGGAUCUUCCUAGAGAACUAGACAGAAAAAAUAAAAGUUCUGUCAUAUUGGCCACUGCGUAAGAGCUGAUUCCUCAUUUGGGGAAGCGAGUUGGCUCUUGUUUCUGGUGUGUAGAGGCAAUCUCUUGGGCAGAGAUUUCAUCUUGGUUUUCAUCUGAUUUGCUUUAUCUUGAGCAUUUCUUCUUAACCUAAUUUAAAUUGGCGAAUUUUAGAGUCCGGAGGUUUUUUUAAAUGCAUUCAAUUUAUUAUUAUUUCUAGUGAGUAGCAGAUGAUAUCAAACAAUAAACAGUUACAAGUACAAAAUAAGGGAGAAGAGUCACUGUGCAAAUGGGUAUAAGGAAGAGCAAGGGAAUAAUGUUCAAAAGGGGACAGCUGGCUUUGAAUAUCAGCAGAAAUAGCUUCUCUCAGGCCUGCCUACGUGACCUGCUUGGUUUGUACAGGACUGUGACCCCUUCAGCAGUUGCAUAUUCAGUUCUUCACUAUCUAUGUCUUAGUGCACUUGCUUCCACCUCCCCACCCACUCUGAUCUAUUUUUUUGUGCGUAGGCGAUAAGCAUUGUGAUUUUUUGUUCUUUCUUUGGUGUGCUGUGAAUCCUCCUCUCUGCAACUGCAAUUCUGGGACAAAAUUCACACAUAUCCAUUCCGAGAUCUGCUUGUUUGACAAUUUAGUAGUUUUGCAAGCUAUUUCAAAUAAAAAGCUAAGUGAACAGUGAACAGUUAAGAAAGCAGCGAAGUAAAGAAAAACUCCUUCCUCAAAAUCACAUUUUCCCUGGACACUUAAUCACUUAAUCAGAGAAGACUCUUGUAGUCUAUAUGGAGGAUGUUAAAAAAUUCAGAGCUAUAUGAUUUCCCUUCCUUUUUAUUUUCUUUUUGUGUGUAGCAUUUUCUUGUGCAUUUGAUCAAACUUUAGUACAUUAUUUCAUAAGGAGUUCACAGGCUGUUUUGUGAAUGUGCAGAAGUAUUGAAAAAAGACCUUUAAAGUAGGGGAAUACUGCUUUCAUUGUGUAUGAUGUGGAUGUGUUCCCACUGUUAUCCCAUUUUGUUUUAAUAUUAGCCUAUUGGACCAUGAAAAAAUUCAAAGUAUGAGAAAUGUACUUUUCCUUUUAUGUAGCUACCAUUAUGAGCCUCAUAAAAAACAUAUCUCAGAUGACUAAACAAAAUAUUUUUUCAAAACACAAUUAGGAAGAUAUAACUAUUUAGAAGCUAUAACUGCUUCAAGAAACUGUGCAAAAUUACACAGGUUGCAACCACCGUGUUGUUCCAUAUCCAUGGGUAGAAAUGAGGCUGGGUUUCCCAAAGAUCAGUGCACAAAGGCUGUGGGCUGAGCCACCCUGAUCUGUGCUGAAGGACAGGCUGAGCCACCCUGUCCUUCAGCAUGUUUCAGUCUUCCACCAGCACUGCAUUUUCCCAAAGUUCCUGCAUUUUUGAAACCUCAUGUUCUUUGUCAAAUUUGCCUGCAAUGCUACUUGCAUAGUAGCAGUUUGAAGACUGUGGAAAGAGAAGGAGGAAAAACAGACAUGAAGGUGGAAAGAAAAUUUCCUUGUAUGAGCCUCCUUUCCAAAGGAAACCACUGAAGGUAAGAAAGGAUCACAGGGGGCCAUAACAGUGCUACAUUUCAAAAUUAUCAAUUCACAAAGAAAAGAGAAAAAAGGUGCAGCCUUUACUCCUCCUGUUGCCAUGAGCUCUUCUCCUUCUCACCUUGGAUUUACUGUCCAACACAGUUCGUGUCACACUUCUCAAGGACAGGCACAAAGGACACAGAGGCAGCAGCUGUGCUUUGAAAUAACUGUCAGCACACCAGGGGUUAAAGAUGCCCAGAGCCUCCCUGUUCCCUAAGUCUGUGCAUCUCUUAUGCAGAGAAAAUUUUCGCAGCUGCACUGCUAAGUUUUAUCCUGGGAAAAAGCCUUAAAAAUACGUUUCUGCUACAGCAAUUCUGCCCUUUGUAAUUGGGGAAGAAAAAUGCCUAUGAAAUAUGCCAUAGAGCUCUAUGGUGCUGCAUUCUGAAAUGUAUUUCAUUGCAUCCCAUGAAAGCUGGAACUUCAAAACCCAUUGAUUAAAAUGAGACCAUUGCUGUACUCUGCUAAUUAGGAUGUAGUAUUUAACACUAUUCUUAGUUUGAACUGUGCACAGUAAGUACACUUCUAUUAAUAGUUUUUGGGGGGUAGGGAGACAGUGUUUAUCUUUUUUUUUUUUUUUUUAAUUGCAUGAAAAAGCAGGAGCCAGCAGUCACAUUUUAAAACUGCUCUGGUAAGAGAAGGUUUCCUGCUGGGAGAAGCCAAACGAGUGGAAGGAGAAAAUAUAUGUCAGAUGGCAGAAGGGGGGAACAGACCAGUUGAGGGAUGGAUAGCUGAGACACAGUGAGUACUACAUUCUCACAAUCUUUUUUAACCAGUAUUUCUGGGUUUGAUCAGGGAAAAUACUUACCCUUUUGAAUAUUUAGGGGAAAAGGUUAUCAUCAUGCAUGAAACAAAAUAGAGCUGGUGCAAAUCCAUACAAGCACUCAUUUGAUAGUCAGAGUGGGAGCAGGAAAAUUUAAAUGCACACAACAAGCAGCAAGUCUAAGUAGUGUUUUCUCUGCCACAGUCACUGAGGAAAGGUUAAAGCUUCAAACAGCUACAAGUCUCCAGCAGAUACACUGAAAAACAGGUCCUGGAGGUGUGUCAAAAUAUCUAAUAUUUGCUACAACUAAUAGAAGCAUAAGGAAAGUUGAAAGUAAGAAAAGUAAAGGGAAAAAAACAGCCACAAGCCCAGCUCAGUUUCUUGGUACUAACAAGCUGCCUAUGCAAAGUGAUGACAGGUUUUAAACCAGUGGUGUAAAAAGAUUCAUGCUGGGCUCUCACUUGAGUGCAGAAGAGCAGAAAAACCCUACACUGACCCCUCAGCAAAUCAGCCACCUGAAGAGAGAGCCUUGCAGCCACGUUUCCUCACCCAGCAGCCUGAACCUUCACCUUUUCCUCUCGGGGUUGGCUGUCCCACUGCAGGUGGGUGAUGCCCUUGUGCCAAAGCAGUCAUAUUAACAGGAGGUGUCCCCAAGGUGACCCCUGGGUUGUGUUUGCCCCAGCCAAGGGCUCGUCCCAGCCGUUUUCCAGCAUUCCAGAGGGAGCAGCUCCUGGAGGAGAGACACAGGCAGGAGCUGCUUGUGGCCCAGCUGCACCCAAGGAAUAUUAGCAUGCUUUCACUUAAUGCACUCUGAAUCUACCACGGUUCUAAAAGAAGCACAGAAUAUAUUUCCUCUCAGCAGUUGAUGCAUGCUGAGAUUUGUGCUGUGUGAAUGCAGGUCGUCCGAACGCGCAGAAACCAAAAUGGAAUGAAUAUGAAGGGGGUCCCUGCUCCCCUGUGUAAACAAGUUCCUAAUCUUUCUAGCCUCUACCUGAGAAAGGAUUUAGGAUGCUGAUCCUUAAUUUUUUCAGUCUCCUCUGCAUCAUCUGUGGGUGUUUAUCAAAGCACAAGGUUGGUUACAUAAUGUUUCACAUUAUUCUCACAGGCUGUCCAAUGUAUGAAGUCUGUCUUUAAUUGAAGUUUCUAUUUGCAUGCUUCACGACCCUUAAAAUAUUCUUCUUGAAAUGUCAGAUGAGGUUAAUUGAGGACUCUCUUGAUGAUGGUAUUAUUGUAAUUUGAACUUGGAGAAUCCAGUAAUAAUUCUAGGAGGAUUCUGUAAGAUUUAUUUUUCCCCUUUAGGUUUUAUCUUUGUAUUGAGAAUUAGUUUGCAGUUUAAAUUCAAAACAAUUUUCAAUAUAGUGAAAUUCAUCAUGUUCUAAUGAACUCUACAAAUUAUUCUAUCCUGGAAAUAGGAUAAUAACAUUGCAUUUAAAUAUUGCUUUUUGGAUUAUACCACAUAGGAGACUGAAUGAUAUCCUUUUUUGGCUUUAAUGAUUUGAGGAAUUUUUAUUUCCACUUGGCUUUGUGCAAGAAACUAUUUCUCAAAUUUGGCUGAGAUCAGCUGUAAUUACUAUUCUAGGCUGUUGCCUCCCUGUGCCUGGAGUUGUAUAUUACUUUUGGAAAACUGUCUGUAAAAGUAGUUUUUUACCUAACAAUAAUGUUGUUUAGGAAUAGCCUGGUUUUGAUUUUCCUUGCCAUUUGUUUUAGCAGACAGGACAUUCCAUGAGGAAAGACAUUUGGCUCAGUAUAAAAUACUGAGUAACAUGGUAACAACCUCAGUGAAAGGCACCUUUGUCAGAGAACUGAAGCAUCCACUCAGAUCUGUAAAUGCAAAUUUUAUCACUCAGAAGUUAUGGAAACUUUUUUUUUUCCCCCUAAGCAUAUCUUGGCAUCCUUUUUUCUGUUGUCAUAGUAAGCUCAUGUCCUGUUGAAGCAUUUUCACCCUCUGUUGGCAAUAUUUCCCAUGUUCACACAGGAUACAGCUAUACAGAUUCUGUAACACAGGGAAGCAAUGGCACACCAUAUAAAUCUAAAUUCCUUAUCCUAUUUAAAACUGAAACUUACAAUGAUUUCAAAGAGUAUGUGUAACAGCUUUUAUUCCAGAGUUUUGUAAGAUAUUUAAAGCCUGAUACAAAAGACAGUUUAACAAAUGCUUUAAAGAAGUCACCACUAACUUAAUAUCAACGUAUUCACUUCAGAGUUUCAAAAUCUUGUGAUAUAAUUCUCAAUCAAUUGAUUUAUUUUAGAAGGGAAAAUUGAAUAUUUGUUUUCUAGCACAUCAUACUCUGCUUCCAUAGAACUGAAAUGGAAUUUGGAUACAGGUGUGAUAUUCUUUCACUGAGUCAUUAGACAGUGUUUAAAAAUAGGUAUUUCAGGCAAUACUCUACACAGAUUUGUCAUGUCGAUUUCUGUGUCUGAUCCCUUAGAAAGAAAAAGAGACAGACUUUUACCUCCAUAAGGAGUCAAUGGCUGUAUUCUAAGGGUCAUCUGCAGGGGAUUGUUUCAAAACACCAAUUUCAUGCUCAUGUUCAUAUCAGUUCUUGAACCAAUGUUCACAUUCAUAUCAAUUUUAUACAGUAUGGCUUUUCUUUGCUCUGCUGGACUGUUCCACAAACUAUCUUUCUUUGGUUUUUAACUUAAUAUUCUGCCCUUUCAGUUUUACUCCUCUGCACACCUGGAUUUGAGUCAUGCGCUGAGAAGAAAUGAGACAAUACUUUAUUUUAGCAGCAUCCAGAAAGAGCUCUCCUGCUGCCCAGCCAUUCCUGUUGUUUCUGUGCAGAGGGUACUAAUUAUCCAGUAUGUGAAAUUACAAUGGCAGAAUAUAGUGAACAUCUCAAACAGAGAAGUAAUUGCAAUCUCUGUGCUCACCUCUGUUUCACCACACUGGGAAUGGCAAGUUUGGAAUGCUCAGAUCCCCAUGGGCCACAAUCCUGUUGGUAUUAAGUGCAGAUCACUCCGGAACAUGUCUAGCCAGGAGCAAGAGGAGCUGUGGUGAGGGGCAGGUGUCCAUAUGGAUCUCUCUGCUCUUCAUGCAUAUGCAGGGCAUUUCCCCACAGAUUUUCCAGCUGCUUCUUAUCCUUUUCCCUUUAGAUGGGAUCUUACAUUUGCUUUCCUCUGCUGGCCCUCUCCCUAAGGUGUUACAGCACAGGGAGGUGAUUUGUCCACACGUUAUUAGAGCAGACACCACAUACACUAGGAAUUCCCAGUGCAUAAAUAAUGUCCUUGCUAAUUAAUUUAUUUUUGUUUGAGCCUCUCGUCCUGUCCUGUUACUGGCACUUGUGAUUAUUAGAACAGAAAGCCCAAGUCCUUUCCCAGUCCUUUGUCAGAUGGCUGCCUCUUGUGUUAACUAGUGGGCUGCUCUGUACAUCAUCCUUGGAAUGAAAAUUAGCUGCUCUGCAAAAAGGCAACAGCAGAGGAAAGAAUAGAAAUUAUGAAGCUUGAAACUCCACAAAAGUUAAAAUUGAAAAAAAUAUUGCUGUCAUGGUAAGCCUGGAGAUAAACAAAGAAGUCAUACAAAACUCCCAGCAAAGGCAUCCCCUUGUCCUUGGCCAGCCCCUUCCCAGCCAGGCCUGAGCAGUCAGGAGACAAGAUCUUCCCUCUGAGAUGGGCUAUAUAAACAGGACACUGGUAGUGCUUGUCUGAGCACUGAUACCACUGCUAGCCACUGCCACUAUGUGGAUUUCCAGUAGCUACAAGAAAUGCAACUAGAUCUCAUCUGGCAGGUGUUCUAAGCACCACAGCAGAGUUGUGUCCAGGUGAAAAAGACAAAAAUAAAUGUUUAUCAGAGAGUUCUAAUUGCUAGAGAAUAGUCCCCCUGGCUCCUAAUGGAAAGUUACAUUUUGCAGAACAAUCUAUAGAUGGUAUCUCACAGCUGUCACAGUGAAAUUACCCUCAGAGAAGUGAGCCAGGAGUCACGGAAUGUGCGAAUGUCCUGAAUCUGAGUGCCUCAGAGGUGCAGUUACAUCUCAUCUUCAUUAAAAAGUGCAGCAAGGAAAGAUUUCACAUCAUUCUUUAAGCUAACAUGAAAACCACAUCAAUUCUGGACUGUAAUAUUCUUAUUCUACCCAAAGGUAAUUUGUUUUCUGUGCAUAAGUAGAGCUGCUAUUUCCUUUUGUGCAUUCUCAGAAGUGUGUCUUUUGUUUCCUGUUCAGCAUAAACUCUGAGCGAAAGCAAAUAUAUGAGCUUCCUCUGCCUCUGUGAAGUCACUAUGCAGAGUGCCUGACCUACAGUUCAGAAGCCUGAGAAAAAAAUGUUCUCUGUUUUAUAUAUGGGGUUUGGGUUGGGUUUUGGUUUGUUUUUUUUUUGUUGUUGUUGUUGUUGUUGUUUUGUUUUGUUUUUUCUGAACACUGUCUAUGCUGAGAGCUAUGGAAAUAAUCAACAAACUGAAGAGACAAGCAACAAUAGCCACCACAGGGAAGUUCAGAAAAAUCUGACUGAUGAAAACAUUUAAGAAAUAGCCUGGAGAAAAUAUAAGGAAGAUGAUUCAGGGACACUACAAGCAACUACUGCUAGGCUAGAACUCCUGAUUUUUAAUUCCUGCUCAGGCCUGAAUUGGGACUGCUGAACUACUUUGUGCCUCUGGGAAAUCGACACAAUCCUUGCACUUAUCAUUGAGCUGUUGUGGUGACCAGGUACUGCCCAGGAAAUUCUCUGAGUGCAGAAGUGCUAUAUGGGAAGAAAGCAAGCCUGUCUACCAGAUUGUCAGCAAAUGUCUUCAAAAUGGCCAGCGUGAGGCUUCCACCAGGAUUUAUCAACAAAUGAGCCAGAAAAACCCCACGUUAUGGAAACAGAAAAAGGUGUUUCAUGUCCUUGCCAGUGAGAACCUGUGAUGGCAGCCAGCAUGAGCCCAUUCUUCAAGAUUUUGCUGGGUUUGCAUUGUGCCAAUUAUUCCCAGAGAAAUGGAAGAGACCUCACGUUUCCUUUGGCACAAGGAUUUGAGAAAGAAGUCAGCACAAUAGCACUGUCAUCUGUGGCCUUAUUUUUCCUCUUCACAUCAGAUAUCUUAAGAAAUGCAGAAGCAGAGACAAUGCUGUCUCACCCAGCUUUAAUGCUAUUCAUGCUUAUGGUCUGGGAGUUCUCCUCAAAUACACAUGCCUUUUUUUGGCCUUGGCUUCCCCAAAAAGGUGCUGUCUGUAGGUAUUUAAUUUUUAAUUUAUUUUUUGUUAGCAUGCUAAUUCUUGAGAUUUGUGAGUUUUUAGAGAUAUAAGUAAAACAAUUUAUGCCUAAUAUGAUGAAUUGACAUUAAAAAAUGAUUGCAAAUAUG